CCUACGGGAGGCAGCAGUGAGGAAUAUUGGUCAAUGGACGCAAGCCUGAACCAGCCAUGCCGCGUGCAGGAUGACUGCCCUACGGGUUGUAAACUGCUUUUGUAAGGGAGUAAAUUGCGACACGUGUGCCUUUUUGUAUGUACCUUAUGAAUAAGGAUCGGCUAACUCCGUGCCAGCAGCCGCGGUAAUCCGGAGGAUUCAAGCGUUAUCCGGAUUUAUUGGGUUUAAAGGGAGCGUAGGGGGGUUGUUAAGUCAGUUGUGAAAGUUUGGGGCUCAACCGUAGCACUGCAAUUGAUACUGGCAGGCGAGAGUUGAGUUGCGGUAGGCGGAAUGCGUGGUGUAGCGGUGAAAUGCAUAGAGAUCACGCAGAACACCGAUUGCGAAGGCAGCUUACUAAACUGCAACUGACAUUGAGGCACGAAAGCGUGGGGAGCAAACAGGAUUAGAUACCCGAGUAGUC
rnacentral:rRNA from 1 species